UACAGAGGUCUCAAGCGUUGUUCGGAUUCAUUGGGCGUAAAGGGUGCGUAGGCGGCGCGGUAAGUCGGGUGUGAAAUCUCGGAGCUUAACUCCGAAACUGCAUUCGAUACUGCCGUGCUUGAGGACUGGAGAGGAGACUGGAAUUUACGGUGUAGCGGUGAAAUGCGUAGAUAUUGGGAAGAACACCGGUGGCGAAAGCGCUCUACUGGGCCUGAACUGACACUGAGGGACGAAAGCUAGGGGAGCGAAAGGG
rnacentral:rRNA from 1 species